GGUGAGUAACACGUGAGUAACCUGCCCCUGACUCUGGGAUAAGCGUUGGAAACGACGUCUAAUACUGGAUAUGACUGCCGGCCGCAUGGUCUGGUGGUGGAAAGAUUUUUUGGUUGGGGAUGGACUCGCGGCCUAUCAGCUUGUUGGUGAGGUAAUGGCUCACCAAGGCGACGACGGGUAGCCGGCCUGAGAGGGUGACCGGCCACACUGGGACUGAGACACGGCCCAGACUCCUACGGGAGGCAGCAGUGGGGAAUAUUGCACAAUGGGCGAAAGCCUGAUGCAGCAACGCCGCGUGAGGGAUGACGGCCUUCGGGUUGUAAACCUCUUUUAGUAGGGAAGAAGCGAAAGUGACGGUACCUGCAGAAAAAGCACCGGCUAACUACGUGCCAGCAGCCGCGGUAAUACGUAGGGUGCAAGCGUUGUCCGGAAUUAUUGGGCGUAAAGAGCUCGUAGGCGGUUUGUCGCGUCUGCUGUGAAAUCCCGAGGCUCAACCUCGGGCUUGCAGUGGGUACGGGCAGACUAGAGUGCGGUAGGGGAGAUUGGAAUUCCUGGUGUAGCGGUGGAAUGCGCAGAUAUCAGGAGGAACACCGAUGGCGAAGGCAGAUCUCUGGGCCGUAACUGACGCUGAGGAGCGAAAGCGUGGGGAGCGAACAGGAUUAGAUACCCUGGUAGUCCACGCCGUAAACGUUGGGCGCUAGAUGUAGGGACCUUUCCACGGUUUCUGUGUCG
rnacentral:rRNA from 1 species